rnacentral:rRNA from 1 species
GAAUAUUGAAAGUCAAAUAAAGUUUUGUCUAUAUAUGGAUUAUGACAAUAUAUACAUAUAGUCUUGACUAAUUACGUGCCAGCGGUCGCGGUAAUACGUAAGAGGCUAGCAUUAUUCAUCAUGAUUAGGUGUAAAGGGUACUCAGGCUGUCAAAUUGACCUUUUAAAAGGAAAAUAAGAAUUUGACUAGAGUUUUAUCAAGGAAGAUAGUACUUUUAAGUGAAAAGAUUAAAUUUACUAAUACUCUAGGGACUGGUAAACGCGAAAGCAGUCUUCUAUGUAAAACUGACGUUAAAGUACGAAGGCUUGGAUAGUGAAUAGGAUUAGAUACCCUAGUAACCCUCGCCAGAAAACGAUGAAUGCCAUAAAUUCGAAUAAGGAUUAUUCUUAUUUAUCAACGAAAUUAAAAGCAUUCCACCUCAAGAGUAAAGUGGCAACACCGGAACUGAAAUCACUAGGCCGUUUCUGACCCCAGUAGUGAAGUAUGUUAUUUAAUUCGGUAGCCCACGAAAAACCUUANCGCAAUUGGUAUUCUUAAUAAUGACUUUUUUUUGUUAGUAAAUAUACAAAUAUUACUUGUUUUAAAUAAAAACAAUAAUAAAUGUNUCUGUUGUUUAAGUUUAUUUUUAUAAAAGAUAGCUAAUUGUUCAAAAUAUUAAGCUCAAUAAUACAGGUGUUGCACGGUUGUUUUUCAGUUCAUGUUGUGAAACUGUGAAUUUUUUCACGUAAUAAACGAAAUCCCUAUCUUUAUUUAGAUAAAAAAAUAAAGAAUUUAAUAAUAAAUCAUAGUACAGAUAUUAACCAAAAAAAAGGGAAAAAGACAA